rnacentral:lncRNA from 1 species
AGAAGAAAUAAAAAAGCUUUUACAAACAACUUUGGUUCCAUACAGUCAGCUCCUUUUUCAAUUUCUUAUUCCCAAUUUUUCUAAAAUGUUUAUAAUAUGAUUAAAUUUAAAGUAAUACCAAAUGUAAGGUGGAAGAAAAUUUAUCAAAAUCGGUGUUAAAUUUGAGCUUUCUACCAAAAAGAGUGCGGUUUCAGUCUCUCUCCGAUUCCUUAAUUUUUGACCUCACGCGAAUCUUUGAACGAAUCCAAAAUGUCACGUCGUGGUCUGCCUCAUGCAGAUCAGGUCCACCCAACACGCACUAUGCUUCUUCUUCUUCAGCAAUGCACGUUGGGAGUACGGCACCACGCGCCUGACACAGCGCACCACGCACUGUGCAACGUGCCCAACAUCGUAUGUCGCUGCUGCACACCCAGUACUGUGUGCUGAGCACCCAACACUGUGCACCGCGUGCCCAGCACCGCCCGCCGCAUGCUCAACACCGCACACUAUGCCCCCAGCACCACAUGUCGUGUGCUCAACACCGUGUGCAACCCUGCCUUUACGGCCGCGCACCCUACU